UACGUGCCAGCAGCCGCGGUAAUACGUAGGGCGCGAGCGUUGUCCGGAAUUAUUGGGCGUAAAGAGCUUGUAGGCGGUUGGUCGCGUCUGCUGUGAAAGGCUGGGGCUUAACCCUGGUUUUGCAGUGGGUACGGGCUAACUAGAGUGCAGUAGGGGAGACUGGAAUUCCUGGUGUAGCGGUGGAAUGCGCAGAUAUCAGGAGGAACACCGAUGGCGAAGGCAGGUCUCUGGGCUGUAACUGACGCUGAGAAGCGAAAGCAUGGGGAGCGAACAGGAUUAGAUACCCUGGUAGUCCAUGCCGUAAACGUUGGGCACUAGGUGUGGGGGACAUUCCACGUUUUCCGCGCCGUAGCUAACGCAUUAAGUGCCCCGCCUGGGGAGUACGGCCGCAAGGCUAAAACUCAAAGAAAUUGACGGGGGCCCGCACAAGCGGCGGAGCAUGCGGAUUAAUUCGAUGCAACGCGAAGAACCUUACCAAGGCUUGACAU
rnacentral:rRNA from 1 species